rnacentral:lncRNA from 10 species
GAGUCCCCGAGGGAGGCUACGGUAGGAUAUCUUCCCUAGAGACAGGGUCUUGCUCUGUUGCCCAGGCAGGUCUUGAAUUCCUGGGCUCAAGCGAUCCUCCUGCCUCAGCCUCUUGAGUAGUUUACUACAAGAUCUUUUCUGGCCUGAGAAAGGGGGCCUCCCCUGUCUAGAGGGAGAUCGGGCUCUCCCUGUGAGUGGGCCAAGGAGCCUCUUGGAGAGGGUUUCUAGAUUUAGCAAAUAAAAAUACAGGGUACUCGGUUAAAUUUGAACUUGCAUUUCAGAUAAACGACGAAUAACUUUUUAGCAUGAGUAUUUCUCAUGCAAUAUUGGCUACAUACUUACACUUAAAAAAAAUUGUUACCUGAAAUUCAAAUGUAACUGGAUGCCCUGUGUUUUAUCUGGUAAUCCCAGUCUUGGAAGGAAAAGGAUCAAAUACGAACCCCCUAAUUCUCUGAGCCUUCUUGGUCCAGCCUACACAGCUGGAAGCCCAAAGGUGGCGCUCUUGGAGUCUGACCUCCCCUGGCACAGGGUUUGAGAUGGUCUUUACCCAGCUCCACUGGCCCAAAAGUAGCCCAUAGACCCAAAAGGGGCCUAGCACCUCUCCCCAGGGCAUCAGGAUGGGGCCCCAGGUCCCCAACUGGUUGUCCUGUGGACCUCAGGGAAUGACGACGCAGGAGUCAAGAGCCUCGGUUGCAGCUCCCGCUGUGCCGCCCACGACUGGCUCCGGGGUCAGAUGAUCUGCUGGUUCAAAUCCUGACUCAGCCUCCUACUAGCCAGGCCAGUCUCUAGACCCCUCCCAGCCUCCAUGUCCUCACCUGAGAAAACAGGGUCACAAUACCUGCCUUGCCAACGUGAUGAGGACCAGCGGAGAAGGUGAAAGGGCUUAUAUUCCAAAGCCCACAAGGUUGAAGAUGCACACCCGUGACACAGCCUCAGGAUGUCCUGACGACAUGUGCCAAGGUGGUCAUACGUUUUAGGGAGACAUGAGACAUCAAUCAACACAUGUAAGAUGAACAUUGGUUCAGUCUGGAAAAGGCCGGGCAACGCCAAGCAAAUGUGGGACAACUCGCAGCCAGGAGAAAGCUUCCAGGUCACAGUAUUUUUGACUUACCACGUGUUUAUUGGGACGUAACCCCUUCCUAAGAUGAAGAGCAUCUGUAUACAUCCAGAAUCCUGUGGAGCAACUCAUAACCCAUGAGGAAUGGAAGCCGACAGACAGACUCAUCCCCAGGACAGGUGGUUCUCACUACAUCUCAUAAAGCUUCUUAGAAGAUCUUACAGGAUUGAGCAACCAGCCAGCCACAGCAGGGGCCAACUGGAUAACACGUCUUUGCAUAGGCUCUCCCUCUGUCCCUGUCACCCUCCCCUUUUCCUAACCUUGUUCCUUGGGAUUAUGUUUUGAAAUAAAUUAUUCAGAGAAAUGAAGCCAAAGCUGACCCAUUAGCCAAUAGCUAGGUUCUGUGAUGACAGAGCUUCUGGGCUAUAAUCGUUUACUGAGAAGCCAGCGUUCCUGAGGGGAUAAUGGCUCGUUCCAUUCAGCUGCAGCAUAGGAGUGAGGGCAGGGCAUUAGCAGAAGAUAACACCAGAAACGUGCUCUGGGGCCUGUUGAUGACUUUCUGUGCCAAGCACAGACAUUUAGCCUUUAUUCUGUAUGUGAUGGGAAGCCAGUGCCAGUGGUGGGUUUGAGCAGGGAACCAGCAACCAGUGGUGGGUUUGAGCAGGGAACCAGCAAUACUCAAGCUCUGCUUGGAUGGAGGCCAGUCAGGGAGGAGUUAGGGCAGGAGGACCAGUCAGGGAGGAGACUUAGGGCAGGAGGACCAGUCAGGGAGGAGACUUAGGGCAGGAGGACCGGUCAGGGAGGAGACUUAGGGCAGGAGUACUGGUCAGGGAGGAGACUUAGGGCAGGAGGACCGGUCAGGGAGGAGACUUAGGGCAGGAGGACCGGUCAGGGAGGAGACUUAGGGCAGGAGGACCGGUCAGGGAGGAGUUAGGGCUGGAGGACGGGUCAGGGAGGAGACUUAGGGCAGGAGGACCGGUCAGGGAGGAGUUAGGGCUGGAGGACCGGUCAGGGAGGAGUUAGGGCAGGAGGACUGGUCAGGGAGGAGACUUAGGGCAGGAGGACCGGUCAGGGAGGAGACUUAGGGCAGGAGGACCGGUCAGGGAGGAGACUUAGGGCAGGAGGACUGGUCAGGGAGGAGACUUAGGGCAGGAGGACAGGUCAGGGAGGAGUUAGGGCUGGAGGACGGGUCAGGGAGGAGUUAGGGCUGGAGGACCGGUCAGGGAGGAGUUAGGGCAGGAGGACAGGUCAGGGAGGAGUUAGGGGAGGAGGACCGGUCAGGGAGGAGUUAGGGCAGGGGGAUUGGUCAGGGAGGAGUUAGGGCAGGGGGAUUGGUCAGGGAGGAGUUAGGGCAGGAGGACCGGUCAGGGAGGAGUUAGGGCAGGAGGACCGGUCAGGGAGGAGACUUAGGGCAGGAGGACUGGUCAGGGAGGAGUUAGGGCAGGAGGACCGGUCAGGGAGGAGUUAGGGCAGGAGGACCGGUCAGGGAGGAGACUUAGGGCAGGGGGAUUCGUCAGGGAGGAGUUAGGGCAGGAGGACCGGUCAGGGAGGAGUUAGGGCAGGAGGACUGGUCAGGGAGGAGUUAGGGCAGGAGGACGGGUCAGGGAGGAGUUAGGGGAGGAGGACUGGUCAGGGAGGAGUUAGGGCUGGAGGACCGGUCAGGGAGGAGUUAGGGCAGGAGGACCGGUCAGGGAGGAGUUAGGGCUGGAGGACCGGUCAGGGAGGAGUUAGGGCAGGAGGACCGGUCAGGGAGGAGUUAGGGCAGGAGGACCGGUCAGGGAGGAGACUUAGGGCAGGAGGACUGGUCAGGGAGGAGUUAGGGCUGGAGGACCGGUCAGGGAGGAGUUAGGGCAGGAGGACUGGUCAGGGAGGAGUUAGGGCAGGAGGACAGGUCAGGGAGGAGACUUAGGGCAGGAGGACCGGUCAGGGAGGAGACUUAGGGCAGGAGGACUGGUCAGGGAGGAGUUAGGGCAGGAGGACCGGUCAGGGAGGAGUUAGGGCAGUAGGACAGGUCAGGGAGGAGUUAGGGCAGGAGGAUCGGUCAGGGAGGAGUUAGGGCAGGAGGACCGGUCAGGGAGGAGUUAGGGCAGGAGGACCGGUCAGGGAGGAGUUAGGGCAGGAGGACAGGUCAGGGAGGAGACUUAGGGCUGGAGGACUGGUCAGGGAGGAGUUAGGGCAGGAGGACCAGUUAGGAGGCAGUGACUUAGGACUUCAGCAGUGGCACUAGAAAGGGGAUGGAUAUGAACGACAUUGCAAAGUAAAACUAGAGAGACGGCCGGGCACAGUGGCUCACUCCUGUAAUCCCAGCACUUUGGGAGGCCAAGGCGGGUGGAUCAUGAGGUCAGGAGAUCGAGACCAGCCUGGCCAACAUGGUGAAACCCUAUCUCUACUAGAAAAAAAAAAAAAUAGCCAGGCGUGGUGGCGGGCGCCUGUAAUCCCAGCUACUCCAGAGGCUGAGGCAGGAGAAUUUGCUUGAACCAGGGAGUCGGAAGUUGCAGUGAGCUGAGAUCGCACCACUGCACUCCAGCCUGGGCAAUAGAGUGAGACUCCGUCUCAAUAACAAAACAAACAAACAAAAACCUAGAGAGACUUGGCACCUUGCAGAGAGAAGCAAAAGAUGACCCUGAGGUCUGGAGUCCAGGAAGCCAAGGACAGCAAAAGCAUCCACAGAAACAGGAAAAGGGCAGGUGUGGGAGGGAAGGUGAGAGGUUCAUCAGACCUCACAGCCCCUGGCAGCGCCUCCUGGAUCUUUGAAAUCCUGUGCACCCCAGGAGACUCCGGGAGGCCCAUCUGAGCUCACCGGAGACAGGUCUGCCGUCUCUCCUCUCAUCACUGGGGACAGAAAGCCUGAACAUGAGGCCUGGACUACGGGGCUCAGACCAGAAUAUUUCCAGACUUAAGGGCAGUAAUGUGGAGCCCAGGAAGGAAUAUUGAGGACAGAGGGCACAUUACUUAGCUCAAGGGGUGCUGGGUUCUUAUUUUCUACUUUCAAGAAAUGUUUGCUAUAGUCACUGUAACCACCACAAAACAGUGAAUAAUACCAUGAGCCAAAUGUAUGUUUCACAAUUUGUAUGGCUGAUUCUACGCACAUUUAAAUGUGUUUAUGACAAUUGUAGAUUUCGGUUUUCCUCUGG